GGGUCCAUCCUAAUCCCUGCGGGUCCUCCCGUGGCCCGCCAGGUUUCGCUUGUGGACCAGAGCACUCCAGAAGCCUCACCCAGGACAGCGGGCAGGCAGUGGCUCGUGCCAGGGAUGCUUCUGGACAGUC